UCGACGGGGAUGCAUUAAGAAGGAGUGCUUGCAUUCCGGAAGGAUGUAUCUUAGUGGCGGACGGGUGAGUAACGCGUGGGUAACCUGCCCCAUACCGGGGGAUACCACCUGGAAACAGGUGCUAAUACCGCAUAAGCGCACGGGAGCGCAUGCUCCUGUGUGAAAAACUCCGGUGGUAUGGGAUGGACCCGCGUCUGAUUAGCCAGUUGGCAGGGUAACGGCCUACCAAAGCGACGAUCAGUAGCCGGCCUGAGAGGGUGGACGGCCACAUUGGGACUGAGACACGGCCCAAACUCCUACGGGAGGCAGCAGUGGGGAAUAUUGCACAAUGGGGGAAACCCUGAUGCAGCGACGCCGCGUGAGUGAAGAAGUAUUUCGGUAUGUAAAGCUCUAUCAGCAGGAACGAGACAAGACGGUACCUGACUAAGAAGCCCCGGCUAACUACGUGCCAGCAGCCGCGGUAAUACGUAGGGGGCAAGCGUUAUCCGGAAUCACUGGGUGUAAAGGGAGCGUAGACGGCUGAGCAAGCCUGAAGUGAAAGGCGGGGGCCCAACCCCCGGACUGCUUUGGGAACUGUACGGCUGGAGUGCAGGAGAGGUAAGUGGAAUUCCUAGUGUAGCGGUGAAAUGCGUAGAUAUUAGGAGGAACACCAGUGGCGAAGGCGGCCUACUGGACUGUAACUGACGUUGAGGCUCGAAAGCGUGGGGAGCAAACAGGAUUAGAUACCCUGGUGGCCCACGCCGUAAACGAUGAUUACUANGUGUCGGGGGGCA
rnacentral:rRNA from 1 species